rnacentral:rRNA from 1 species
CCCUUAGCUGUUCUGGGCCGCACGCGCGCUACAAUGAUGAAUUCAACGAGUUUAUAACCUUGGUUGAAAAGCCUGGGUAAUCUUUUGAACUUUCGUCGUGAUGGGGCUAGACCCUUGCAAUUAUUGGUCUCCAACGAGGAAUUCCUAGUAAACGCAAGUCAUCAGCUUGCAUUGAUUACGUCCCUGCCCUUUGUACACACCGCCCGUCGCACCUACCGAUUGAAUGGUCCGGUGAAAUCUUCGGAUUGAGACUUUGAUUUCUUCACGGAAAACGCUGUUUUAAAAAGUUGAUUAAACCUUACCAUUUAGAGGAAGGUGAAGUCGUAACA